rnacentral:rRNA from 1 species
UACGGGGGGUGCAAGCGUUGCUCGGAAUCACUGGGCGUAAAGCGUACGCAGGCGGCACGUUAAGUCGGGUGUGAAAGCCCGGGGCUCAACCCCGGAACGGCAUUCGAUACUGGCGCGCUUGAAUACGGAAGAGGGGAGCGGAAUUCCUGGUGUAGAGGUGAAAUUCGUAGAUAUCAGGAGGAACAUCAGUGGCGAAAGCGGCUCCCUGGUCCGAUAUUGACGCUCAUGUACGAAAGCGUGGGGAGCAAACAGG